rnacentral:rRNA from 1 species
UACGAAGGUCCCGAGCGUUAUCCGGAUUUAUUGGGUUUAAAGGGUGCGUAGGCGGGCUAUUAAGUCAGUGGAUGAAAGCCGUACACGCUUAACUGUAGAAUUGCCAUUGAUACUGAUAGUCUUGAGUAUGAUUGAGGUGGGCGGAAUGUGUUCAUGUAGCGGUGAAAUGCUUAGAUAUGACACAGAACACCGAUUGCGAAGGCAGACUC